rnacentral:pre_miRNA from 1 species
AAAUGGUGGUGAUGAUCAUGGUGAUGGUGAUGAUGAUGAUGAUCAUCAUCAUCAUCAUCAUCAUCAUCAUCAUGCUGA